UAAUAUCUAUUGAUUCGAAAUCUAAAUAUUGAAUCUUCUCUUUUAUAUCUAUCAUGUUCCUCAUGAUCAUAACCUAAGUUCAGAUAUCACUAAAAUUACAAUUCUAAAUAAUUAUAACCUUAAACUCAAAUACCACUUAAAUCAUAUUUUUUAGUGAUCAUAAUCUAAACUCUAAUAUCAUUCUAUCAUACCUUUAAUGAUCAUAAUCUUAAACUUUGAUAUUAUCAAUCAUACUCUAUUGAUUAUAAUUUUAAAGUUUUGAUAUCACUUAUAUGACAAUCCCUAGUGACCUUAAACCUGAGCUCUAGUACUGUUCUAUCAUAUUCUCUGAUAUCACUCUGUCACAUCCUAUUGAUCAUGCAUAAAGUUUUGAUAUCACUUCAUAAUCCCUAAUGACUUAAACUUAAGCUCUAAUAUCAUUUUAUCAAAUCUUAAUCACUUAUAUCAUAAUCCCCAA
rnacentral:lncRNA from 1 species